rnacentral:rRNA from 1 species
UACGUAGGGUGCGAGCGUUAUCCGGAUUCAUUGGGUUUUAAAGGGAGCGUAGGUGGCCUUAUAAAGUCAGUGGUGAAAUCUCUCAGCUUAACUGAGAAAUUGCCAUUGAUACUGUAGGGCUUGAGUACAGAUGCCGUUGGCGGAAUAUGACAUGUAGUGGUGAAAUACAUAGAGAUGUCAUAGAACACCGAUUGCGAAGGCAGCUGACGAAACUGUAACUGACACUGAGGACUCGAA